AUUCUUCCACCACUAGUCGACCGACCAGACUCCGGCGGACCGCACAACCUCCUUUACUUUUUGCCAAGACCCCGGUGGCGUCGUCUCCAACUCCGGCCGAGCCGCCGUCCGCCACCACGCGAACCCUGCCCGACCCCUUCCUCUCCGGCGUGAGCCAUGGGCUCAGAUCGACGCGGCUCUCCGCGCUGAGCUCUUCGGUAGGUGGAGCGUCGCCGGAGGCCCUCUGUGGCGCCUGCUAGCGUCGCCCGACGCCGGCGGCCUCCCUGCCUCGCGGGCGGGCGUGAGGAAGAUGAAGCCGCCCCGCCCAGCUGGCCAGACGGGCCCCACCACCGUGCGUGAACCCACCCAUCAGCCUCUCCGUGCGUUGACCCGGCCCAGAUGACGUGGUAAGUGGAAACGUACUGCGUGAAGUUCAUUUUCCUGGUCAGAAAGCGCAUUCCUUUUGAACUACGACUGAAGUUCGUUUCCUUUGGCAGAAAGCAUACUCCACCCCAAUACGUUUUCGGUUUUCUCAGUUAGGGGCUUGUUUGCAGAAAACUUUUCACAAAUAGGCCCCUGGCGGAAAACACUUUAUAACUUUUCAACCACAACUCCAAAUGAGGUGAAUCCAAAGCCCACUUCUUCGUUUCAUCGAGCCCGUUCCGAUGGAAACAUUUUCACCAUGUUUUAACAUUCUGAAAAUGACCAUUUUGCCCUUGCACUAAAUCAGCCCGCUUCGAGAGAGAACGUUUUCCGGCGAUUCUUUCCGCGAGCUUCUCGCACUUCUUCCCGGUGAUUUCUUCCACCCCAGGCAAGCCACACCCUCCAUUUGCAUGAUUGCAAUGCAGUGACAUGGUUUAUUUAUUUGAACUUGUUUAAAAUAUUGUAUUAGCAAUGUAUGAUUUGUUCAUGGAAUUUCUCGUAGUAUUGUUUUGACCUUGAUAUUGCCAUGAUAUUGCUUGGAGUUCUAGGACUUAUGUUCUGAUGAUUAUGUGGAUGACAUGUGACUUUGGAUUCUUAGUGGCUAUUAUGAUUAUUUUCAUGAUGGUAUCUGGUAUUAUUUUGGAGUAUUACUUUGGACAUGUGCCUUUGGAUUCUUAGUGGCUAUUAUGAUUAUUUUCAUGAUGGUAUCUGGUAUUAUUUUGGAGUAUUACUUUGGAUAUGAUGUUGCCUUUGGAUUAUUAGUGGCUAGUGUUAGUUUCAUCAUGAUGCUAGUUGAUCUUAUGUUUUGGAGUAUGAUGAUGGAGAUGAUGCGUGCAUGUGGAUCAUAGCUGGAUAGUUAGUUCUUGAUAUUUGAGUAGUAGUAUUAUCGUUCUUGAAUUCAUAAUGAUAGUAGUGUUAUACUGUCCUAGGAGUAUUUUGAUACGACGAUAUUAAGCUUUGGAUUAUUUGUUGGAUAUUGCUAUGACUUGGAUUAUAGUUUGAUAGUUGAUAUCGGAGUAUUAGUUAUCAUAGUUAUAUUUUUGGGGAUAAAUUCCGUCAUUAAGUUGGUCAGGUGCCACCGAACCGGGCUUUCUCCAGUGCAACCACAUUUGCCUUUAUGGGAAGGCCCUAAUGCGAUGCUAUUGCCGUGUCUCUCGCCGGUGCCUCCAACGAGGGAAGGUUAUGGGCGUGCGCUACCCUGAUCAGGUAGGCGGACAUAAGCCUUGUGUGCCCAUAGUUGGAUAUUUGCGCGCUUUUGUCCCUGUUUGGGACCGUUUUUGUUGGCCACAACGGUGGCCGUUGGUGUCUUUGGUAGGCACGGGGCCACCCAGGACUGAACCCAAAGGGGGUGUUGGUCAGAGUGGCCAGGAGAGUGUCAUGUCCGUAGAUCGGUUUUGUCGGAACGCCGUUGGUCCACCCGAAUGGGAGUGCGAGGCCAUUGUCGGAUUUCGGGUUCCGGAAGACCCUUGAGGUUUGCGCGCGGAGAUUUCGCCUUCUACCUACCUGCACCCCUCCGCCUCGCUGAGAUCUAAGCUAUGGAAAGAACAACACAAGAGACACAUGGUUUAUACUGGUUCGGGCCACCGUUGUGGUGUAAUACCCUACUCCAGUGUGUGGUGUGGUGGAUUGCCUCUUGGGCUGAUGAUGAUGAGAAAUACAAGGAAGAACAGCCUCGCGAGGGUCUGUUCUUGGCUGAGGGGAUGAACUGCUAGGAGGAGUUCAAUCACCCUUCUCUCUCUCUCUCUCUCUCUUCUCGAUUCUCUCUCCGAUUUCCGAUCCCUCUACCCUGGGGGUGGCUAGUCCUAUUUAUAGGCAAAGGCCGUGGGCCUCUUCCCAAAUAUUGAGCGGGAAGGGCGCCAACAAUUGGCCAUUUUGAAGGGGAACAUCUGGUACACUUAUCCUGACUAAAGUUGGUCCUCGCCUGCCAAGGCUCUGGUGGUGACGCUGGCUUGGGCUCCACAAUGACUUCCUCCCUGCCGUUGGACUGGUCUUGGUCUCGUUGCACCGAAACGGGUGCCUUUGCUUGAUGCUCUCGCCUGUGCUUGCUCCCUUUGCACCAAAGAGGAAAGGAGGACACUGCGCGACUGGCGCCCGCCUGGCGCCUUUGGUCGUCAUGACUUGCGUCACGGGCACCUCGUGAGGUACCCCGCCUUGAUCUCUCCGCCUCCUCGCAAGCCAACCUGAUGAGGCCGUGCCUGAGGAAGCUCCGUGUCGUCCGCCCCACAAGGCUUGGCCCCUCGCGAGGGUCUUGGGUCUGUGUUGAUGAAGACGGGCCGUGUUGGGCCCCCCUUUGAGCCACGCCGCAGGCCGCAGGCAGGCAAGUCUGGGGACCCCCGUUCCCAGAACGCCGACAGUAGCCCACAGGCCCAAGGCACGCCCGGACUUGGCUGUGCAGGAAGGCGAAAGGGCAAGAGCGAAGCGCCGCGGGCCCUAACAGCCCGCGGCCUUGGGCGCCGCGUGGCGGUUGAUUGGACGUGGGCGUCUCCACUUCCCCACGACGCCUCGGCAACUGCACGGAUUGGACAAGUCCCUGCAUGCAAAACGGGUCAUGAUUACCUGCGAUCGUGGAGGUCGGCGGUUGGCCUUCGCCGGCCAUAAGUACGGAACGGUGCGCGCCCUUCCAGUCCAUCCCUUCUUGCUUCUCCACCUUCUCGGUCCUUGCUCCGUCUUGCUGCGAUGGCUCCGAUCCGCUGGUUCUCGACGGCAGAGAAGGGAAAGGCUCUCCGAGAGGAACCAGACCCGCUCCCGCCGAAGAAACGGCUCGCCCUCCGCGGCCGGGACGAGGGGGCCCAUCAGGUGGUGUCGGGGCCCUGGUGCGAGCGGCCACCGCCGGGGUUCCUGCUUCCCUUGUACGCCCACAUCGAGGGCUCUGAAGGAGUCGAUGUCGAUCGCCACGGGCGGCGGCGCCGUCGGCGCCGACGGGUCACGAAGGUGUGGGUCAUCCCCCCUGGGGUCCACACUGAGGGCUCCUCCCGAGAGUUCGUGCUCCACGCCGCCAUGCCUCCUCAGUCUUGGAUUUGCCUUCCUCCCUUCUUCGCCUCCAUCAUCCCGUAGGGAGAACUCCUGGAGCUUUGGCUGCAGCACGCCGGCUGCAGCACCCUCGCGACCGAGGUAGAGGUCGCGGUCAUUGCCCCAGGAGAGGUCUUCAUGACUCGAGGCUGGAGCGAAAUCGCUCGGGUUUGCAGGACAAGAGGCGCCUUCGCGAUCCACUUGGAGUACGACGGUGCUUCGGUGAUGUUCUUCAAGGUCUUCGAUGCGAACGGGCACCGGCUGGAGUGCUGCCCCGGGAGAGGUGGUCGAGACCCUGCUACAACGAGGACUGGGCCCGCCGACCACUCGCUUGGCGGCUGCUCAAGCGGCAGAGGCGUCGGAGGGUCUAGCGACUCCAGCGAGCUCUUCGCGACUCCGGAGACGAGCGAUGACAGCUACGAGCCCCCGAGCCGGCGCCGCUCCUGGAGCAGGGCGGGCUCGUCAGGCCGUCACCGACUCUGAUCUGGAUGGGGUUGGUGCCGGUGCUUGACGGCCCGCUGUUGACGAUGGCGUCUUUCGCAGGGGCGCGUGUAGUUAGCGUCCUUUUAGGAUCUGUUCCUUGCAAGGAAUCAAAGACGCGUCCCGUGAGGGCUUGUAAGGUGCCUGUGAUCCUGUUUGUUAAUAUAACCCUUGUCGUAGAAUUGUGCGAGUUGCUCAUUCCGUCUUAGCUCAGUUCUCCCUUUCGAACCUCACGAGGGCUUGGUGCUCUGCGCCGACAGGUCCCAGUCCCAAGGCGGCUUCAGCCGUCGCUGGUAUGCCAGGUCGUGAUGCCGUGGUCAAGGCCAGGAGGUGAGCGACCCGGGGUCCGGUAAGAGCCCCUGAGUCGCGAUGCUCAGGAGGUCCCCUUUGGCGCUCAAGUAGCCGUCAUUCGGUGAGUAAGGAGAGUGGCGUCGCUAACACGGGAUUGCAUUAGGUGCGGGGAUGGUGCCACGGUAGCUGGUGCUUCCGGGUGGUGACUUAUCUCGAGAAUCAGGGACCGCUCUCUGGUGUGUCGCCGGGUCCGUGCAUCGGCAGGCAUGAGGUUGCUCGGCGAGGUCCUCGCGUGUCCCUCCCCUCUCGCCUUUGCUCCCCUUUCUGCUCUAUGUCCUCGGGUCCCGGCCCUCGAGCGAGUCUCAGCCGUCGCUGGUAUGCCAGGUUGCGAUGCCGUGGACAAGGCCAAAGGGUGAGGGCUGGAGAGCCAGUAGGAGCCCUGAGUCGUGAUGCUCAGGCACCCCCCUUUAACGUGCAAGCGGUUCGCGCGGAUGAGAGUGAAGGAGACACCGCAAGGGCCUCGCCUGACGCAGCUCCUUUAGGAGAUCCUGUAGACCCAUCAUAGAAAGAACGAGGGGUUGCCAUGACAAUUGACAGUCAGCCGUUGGUUGCGGGCGAUGAGGCACUGAAGGCUUGACGAGGUGGCGCCAUGCAGGGCUGCCGCGGCCAGAGCUCAGCCAUUCCGGUUUGUCGGCGUUGCAGGGACGGACCCAUGCGCAAGCGUCGUGCCGUUUGGGAGCAGUUCCGUCAGUUGGCGUCAGUUGAGCGGGCAACUAGGUCAAACACAUUAGCCGCGAAGGAGUGGAUUCAUUCAAAUAGAUGCUGGGAAGGCAGACAUCACUGGGUCAGGCCCGAGCGACUUGGGGAUGAUGCAGCCCGUGGGGCGCCCCCAACAAAGUAAGCUAACAACAUGAAAUAAAAAGGAUACAUGUCGCAGGGACGGACCCACGCGGCCUGGGAAUAAUGCAGCCCUAGGGGGCGCUCCCAGCUGGAAAUGAAACUUGAAAGAUGUCACCUGAUGAUGUUGAGGAUGAAGGAGUGUUGGUGUAGCAGACUCGGUGGGCUGCGGAAGCCGAUCCUCACGAGCCCCCAGGCCCAGGGGCCUCGGGAGGCUCUGGAGGCGCUGGUGGCUCCUCGCGGACCAUCUCCAUCUCCGCCAGGGCUGUGGAACGCCUGGCCUCUUGAGCCUCCAUGAUACCCCUCAUGAGGCGCUGGUACGUGGCAGCCGCGUUCGGCAAGCCGUAAGGCAUGCGAACGUAGCUGUGGGGUGGACCUUCGCAGCGCCCCACUCGCGAGGGCCAGAGGCGCUCCAGAGAGGCGACUCGAUUAAGCCCUAGUAUGUCGAUGCAGACGCUCAGCCCACCAUCCUCGCCUGGAUGGGGAGCCACAGCUGGUAGGCGGCGGCCGCCUUUCAUGACUCUUGACUCCUGUAGCUCCUGAAUGGCCUUGCUGACGAACUCCUGAGGGUCUGGCUCUCCUUGCCUUACUCCUUCUUGAGGGAAAUGUGCUUCGAAACACGCCUCCAUGUGGUGCCCAAGCGCCUCCCUCGUGACCUUAGCUAGGUCGGUGGCCCUCCAGGGGAGAGCCCCCGAGCCCUGCCUGAGGAGGGCACCAGGCGCGCUUUCCUAUGCGAUGGAACGAGGUUCCCCCUGGGCAGGCGCGAGCCCUGAGGGGCCUGCCUCCUGAGGGGCCGGGCCGGACGAUGUCUUCUUCUUCUUGGGCGCGGAGAUUUCGCCUUCUACCUACCUGCACCCCUCCGCCUCGCUAAGAUCUAAGCUAUGGAAAGAACAACACAAGAGACACAGGGUUUAUACUGGUUCGGGCCACCGUUGUGGUGUAAUACCCUACUCCAGUGUGUGGUGUGGUGGAUUGCCUCUUAGGCUGAUGAUGAUGAGCAAUACAAGGAAGAACAGCCUCGCGAGGGUCUGUUCUUGGCUGAGGGGAUGAACUGCUAGGAGGAGUUCAGUCACCCUUCUCUCUCUCUCUUCUCGAUUCUCUCUCAGAUUUCUGAUCCCUCUACCCUGGGGGUGGCUAGUCCUAUUUAUAGGCAAAGGCCCUGGGCCUCUUGCCAAAUAUUGAGCGGGAAGGGCGCCAACAAUUGGCCAUUUUGAAGGGGAAGAUCUGGUACACUUAUCCUGACUAAAGUUGGUCCUCGCCUGCCAAAGGCUCUGGUGGUGACGCUGGCUUGGGCUCCACAAUGACUUCCCCCCUGCCGUUGGACUGGUCUUGGUCUCGUUGCACCGAAACGAGUGCCUUUGCUUGAUGCUCUCGCCUGCGCUUGCUCCCUUUGCACCAAAGAGGAAAGGAGGACACUGCGCGGCUGGCGCCCGCUUGGCGCCUUUGGUCGUCAUGGCUUGCGUCACGGGCACCUCGUGAGGUACCCCGCCUUGAUCUCUCCGCCUCCUCGCGAGCCAGCCAUAUGAGGCCGUGCCUGAGGAAGCUCCGUGUCGUCCGCCCCGCGAGGCUUGGCCCCUCGCGAGGGUCUUGGGUCUGUGUUGAUGAAGACAUGCCGUGCUGGGCCCCCUUUGAGCCACGUCGCAGGCCGCAGGCAGGCAAGUCUGGGGACCCCCGUUUCCAGAACGCCGACAACCAUGGGUUCCGUGGUGUGGGUAAAGUGCGCUACCUCUGCAGAGUGUAUUUGUUUAAACUAUCGAUAGCCACGUCCUCGGUCAUGGGCAUGGGUUCGUACUAGGUCACACCGUUCGAUCAACACUCACAUGACAGAAUGACUUAUAGGUGAUUUAUUUGUUGAUAUUUUGAGCAGUACAGAUUGGCAGGAUGUUGAUGAUGAUGUUGGAGACCAAGUGUUGGUCAUGGUAGUGAUCGCCGGAAAGAUCACUGUUUGAGACCAAGUGUUGGUCAUGGUAGUGAUCGUCGGAAAGAUCACCGUUUGAGACCAAGUGUUGGUCAUGGUUGUGAUCGCCGGAAUGAUCACCGUUUGGUUUUGAUCAUGAGGUGAUCGAGAUGGCAUACUGCUUGGCCAGUUAGCCAAGAGAGAUAUGGUUAUGGAGAUCUGAGAUGGAGAUUUAUCACUAUUGUAUCAGUUUCAUACCAUGCUUAGUAGUUGUUUCAUCUUGGUAGUUGUUAAUUAAUUAACCUGUUAAUGCUAUGUUAUUGUCUUGCCUUGAUGUUUAUGGUUGUUGUAAGCUCGCAAGUACAUUCAAUGUACUGACCUAGCGUGUCAUGCCAGAUUGCAGGUGAUGCCAUGAUUUCUUGAUUGCUUGUCAAGGUUGCCGUGCGUGCGUGCUAGAUCGUGUCCUAGGCAGAGUCCCUGUGGAGUGGAGUUCACCACCUUCGUCGUUGUUCCACUGCUACGAGUUGUUUUGCUGCUAGCAUAGAGCAAGUGUAGUAUCGCAGGCGUAGUGUCGCCGUGUUGAUGUGCUUCUUUGUAACAUCAGACCCUUGUAUUAUUAUUCUUGUAAUCAGAGCUGAUUUGUUCUAUGUUAAGCAGUGCCGUAUUCCAGAGACUUCUCCUCGAUCUCUGGGCUGGAAUACGGGGCGUUCCGGUUUCUCAGAGCCGGGGUGCCACACCGACUAUCUCAAUGAUGUGCAU
rnacentral:lncRNA from 1 species